AAUCUUAGACAAUGGGGGAAACCCUGAUCUAGCCAUGCCGCGUGAGGGUUGAAGGCCUUGGGGUUGUACAGCUCUUUCAGCUGUGAAGAUAAUGAGGGUGGCGGCAGAAGAAGUCCGGGCUACCUCGGUGCAAGCAGCCGCGGUAAUACGGAGGGGACUAGCGUUGUUCGGAAUUACUGGGCGUAAAGCGCACGUAGGCGGAUCGGAAAGUUGGGGGUGAAAUCCCGGGGCUCAACCCCGGAACUGCCUUCAAAACUAUCGGUCUGGAGUUCGAGAGAGGUGAGUGGAAUUCCGAGUGUAGAGGUGAAAUUCGUAGAUAUUCGGAGGAACACCAGUGGCGAAGGCGGCUCACUGGCUCGAUACUGACGCUGAGGUGCGAAAGCGUGGGGAGCAAACAG
rnacentral:rRNA from 1 species